rnacentral:rRNA from 1 species
GACGUAGGGCGCGAGCGUUGUCCGGAAUUACUGGGCGUAAAGGGCUCGUAGGUGGCCAACUAAGUCAGACGUGAAAUCCCUCAGCUUAACUGGGGAACUGCGUCUGAUACUGGAUGGCUUGAGUUUGGGAGAGGGAUGCGGAAUUCCAGGUGUAGCGGUGAAAUGCGUAGAUAUCUGGAGGAACACCGGUGGCGAAGGCGGCAUCCUGGACCAACACUGACACUGAGGAGCGAAAGCCAGGGGAGCAAACGGG